CCUACGGGUGGCUGCAGUAGGGAAUAUUGGACAAUGGGUGCAAGCCUGAUCCAGCCAUGCCGCGUGCAGGAAGACGGCCUUCUGGGUUGUAAACUGCUUUUUUCAGGGGAUAAAAGGCCCGUGCGCGGGACAUUGAAAGUACCUGGAGAAUAAGCCACGGCUAACUACGUGCCAGCAGCCGCGGUAAUACGUAGGUGGCAAGCGUUGUCCGGGUUUAUUGGGUUUAAAGGGGGCGUCGGAGGCUAGUUGAGAAAUACGGCAGCUUAACUGUCGAGGUGCCAGUGAUACUGGGUAGCUUGAGUACUGAUGAGGUAGGCGGAAUGGACGGUGUAGCGGUGAAAUGCUUAGAGAUCGUCCAGAACACCGAUAGCGAAGGCAGCUUACUAAGGAGUAACUGACGCUGAGGCACGAAAGUGUGGGGAUCAAACAGGAUUAGAUACCCGGGUAGUC
rnacentral:rRNA from 1 species